UCCUGGCCUCAGAACUGAGGCUCAGAGCGAGGAAGACGAGGGAGUGGCGCGCACAGCUUCCUGGGAAGAACGAGGGGUUCAGCCAUCCAGUGAAUCUACACAUACAUGGGAUUUAUGCCAUCCUAUGAAGGCUACUAAAGGGAGUAAGAUUCUAUACAGAUUUUAGAGACCCUUAUAAAGGAAAGAUGGAACAAAAUAAAAUAUCAAAAUCUCAGGAGGAUAUGAGAAGCCUGAGAGGCCCAGCCCUCAAGAGUAACCACCAAGAAGUGAUAAUUAAAAAGCGAAACCAAAUAAUAUAAUGAGAACCAUACAUAAUCUGUAAAGUGAAGCAAAGAAGACCCAGGAGAGCCAAGUUGGUCCUGCAUCUGAGUCCUAGUAGAAAAGUCAGAUCGAGCCUCAUGUGCUGAACUCUCUGGACAAGAGCCCAGGAUUACUGAAUCCAUGGCGGUGACUUAAAGAACAAAAAUGCUGAUAGGUCAAAGUUGGCAGAGAAAGAAGAGGUCAAGUCCACGAGACCUGAGAUUCAGAGAGAACCGAGGGAUUGAGAGCUGCUGAAAUCAAGGAGAAGCACAUGGAGUAGGAUGAAGAGACACCUGGUUAAGGAAGCAACUCCUCUGACCAAGUUGCCCACCCCAGUAGGCAAUAUGGAAAACAUCAAAGAGCAACAACGUCUGCCCAAGGAUCAGAAGUCCAUGAACUUGCUCAGUCACCAGAAAUCAAAAGCUGUCCCAUGCCCUUAACUGUGUUCUCUCUCCCAGACUAGAAAUAGGAUGGCUCUAGUUUGAACUUCUUGACUUAGAGCUCACCUUGUUCUUACGCUUUUACAGGCAUUAUUGAUGUAUGCUAGGCCUGCUCUUAUAAACCUGAACCUCAGUCCUGGUUUUUCCCACACACUCCAUGGUAGCUAGAGUAUACUGCAGAUUGCUGAAGUGUUUAGGGUUUAAACUCUCACAGUGACAUGGCAGAAGUAGCACACUGUUUGCACAUAAAACUGCUUCAGAACUCUAUCGGAGAAGAGACUUUUCUUCCUUAAUUACAUUCUGCUCUAUAGUCACCUUCCACAACCGGUGAGCAUGUUCAGCCAGGAUCAAUGCAACAGCCGAUGGGCACAGUGACCUGGAAAUAGUCUAACUCAUUAAGCAGGUUGGGCUUGUAGACCAUGCCUUCCCUAAGCAUGAAACAUGCAGAGAGCCCAUUAAGAUUCUACUUGACUUAUAUCAACAUGGACCCCAUGGGAGGUGGUGUGAUUAAACCAAACA